UACGAAGGGGGCGAGCGUUGUUCGGAUUUACUGGGCGUAAAGGGCGCGCAGGCGGCUCAUUUUGUCAGGCGUGAAAGCCCCGGGCUUAACCUGGGACUGCGUUUGAGACGGAUGGGCUAGAGUUCGGGAGAGGAGAGUGGAAUUCCUGGUGUAGCGUGAAAUGCGUAGAUAUCAGGAGGAACACCGAUGGCGAAGGCAGGUCU
rnacentral:rRNA from 1 species